rnacentral:misc_RNA from 1 species
UAUUGUUUCGUUUUUGUUUGUUGGUUCUAGCUUUAAUUGUGCAGUUGGGUUGGAUGAUGAUAGCUUUCUGAUCUUAAUUACAAUUGUUAUUGCUUGUUUGUUAUUAUGUUGUGCAAUUAGGUUAGGUGUCUUUUUGUUUGGUUCGUAUUCAGAGCUUGGGUUUCCUCACUUUGAAGGGUUUUUAAUCAUUUGACUCAACCACCCUUAUUUAUGAGGACUUUAUUCCAUUUAUGAUCAUCAGCAGGUUUAGUUUUUAUUUUAAUUUUAGUUAAAGAGGAUGGGGAGAAAAACAAAUAAAAGCGUUUGCUUACUGAAUCUACCAUGAUAAUGCUCACUGGCUUUGUUUUAAAUCAUUUAUG